GACGAACGCUGGCGGCGUGCUUAACACAUGCAAGUCGAGCGGUAAGGCCCUUUCGGGGUACGACGAGCGGCGAACGGGUGAGUAACACGUGGGUGACCUGCCCUUAGCUCUGGGAUAAGCCUGGGAAACUGGGUCUAAUACCGGAUAUGACUCCAUAACGCAUGUUGUGGGGUGGAAAGCCUUGUGCGGCUAGGGAUGGCCCGCGGCCUAUCAGCUUGUUGGUGGGGUGAUGGCCACCAAGGCGACGACGGGUAGCCGGCCUGAGAGGGCGACCGGCCACACUGGGACUGAGACACGGCCCACGAUCCUACGGGAGGGCAGCAGUGGGGGAAUCUUGCGCAAUGGGCGAAAGCCUGACGCAGCGACGCCGCGU
rnacentral:rRNA from 1 species